rnacentral:rRNA from 1 species
CCUACGGGAGGCAGCAGUGAGGAAUAUUGGUCAAUGGGCGAGAGCCUGAACCAGCCAAGUAGCGUGAAGGAUGACUGCCCUACGGGUUGUAAACUUCUUUUGUCGGGGAGUAAAGUGCGGCCCUUGUGCCUUUUUGUAUUUCCUUUAUGAAUAAGAAUCGGCUAACUCCGUGCCAGCGGCCGCGGUAAUCCGGGGGAUCCGAGCUUUAUCGGGAUUUAUUGGGUUUAAAGGGAGCGUAGAUGGGUUGUUAAGUCAGGUGUGAAAGUUUGCGGCUCAACCGCAAAAUUGCAAUUGAUACUGGCAGUCUGGAGUUGAGUUGAGGUAGGCGGAAUGCGCGGUGUAGCGGUGAAAUGCUUAGAUAUCACGAAGAACUCCGAUUGCGAAGGCAGCAUACCAAAUCGCCACUGACACUGAGGCUCGAAAGUGUGGGUAUCAAACAGGAUUAGAUACCCUAGUAGUC